rnacentral:rRNA from 1 species
GUAGAACCGGGGUAAGCGUGUAGGAGGAGGACCAGGUAAAUCCGGGCCUCAUAAACUCUGAGACGUGAUACCGAGCCGCUUCAGGCGAAGUCAUUGAUCCUAUGCUGCCUAGAAAAGCCCAGCAGCGAGUUGACAUGGUGCCCGUACCCCAAACCAACACAGGUGGACAGGUAGAGCAUACCAAGGCGAGUGGGAUAACUAUGGUUAAGGAACUCGGCAAAUUGCCUCCGUAACUUCGGGAGAAGGAGGACCCCAGUAGCGUGAUGAGACUUGCUCUCUGAGCGUGAAGGGGUGGCACAAAAUUGAGGGAAGCGACUGUUUACCAAAAACACAGCAGCGUGCUAAGCCGUAAGGCGCUGUAUACGCUGUGACUCCUGCCCGGUGCUGGAAGGUUACGGGGAUGGGUUAGUCCUUCGGGACGAAGCUCUGAACCUAAGCCCCAGUAAACGGCGGCCGUAACUAUAACGGUCCUAAGGUAGCGAAAUUCCUUGUCGGGUAAGUUCCGACCUGCACGAAUGGAGUAACGACUUCCCUACUGUCUCAACCAUAGACCCAGCGAAAUUGAAGUACGAGUAAAGAUGCUCGUUAGCUGCAGAAGGACGGAAAGACCCCGUGGACCUUUACUAUAACUUGAUGUUGUGUUUUGUCAUAUGUUGUGUAGGAUAGGUGGGAGACUUGGAAGCAUGGACGCUAGUCUGUGUGGAGUCAUCGUUGAAAUACCACCCUGCAUAUGGUGAGGCUCUAACCUAGACCCGUUAUCCGGGUUGGGGACAGCGUCAGGCGGGUAGUUUAACUGGGGCGGUUGCCUCCUAAAGAGUAACGGAGGCGCCCAAAGGUUCCCUCAGCCUGGUUGGCAAUCAGGCGUUGAGUGCAAUGGCAAAAGGGAGCUUGACUGCGAGACCUACAAGUCGAGCAGGAGCGAAAGCUGGGCAUAGAGAUCCGGCGGUUGCGUGUGGAAGCGCCGUCGCUCAACGGAUAAAAGGUACCCCGGGGAUAACAGGCUAAUCUUGCCCAAGCGUCCAUAGCGACGGCAAGGUUUGGCACCUCGAUGUCGGCUCAUCGCAUCCUGGGGCUGAAGCAGGUCCCAAGGGUUGGGCUGUUCGCCCAUUAAAGCGGUACGCGAGCUGGGUUCAGAACGUCGUGAGACAGUUCGGUCCCUAUCCUCUGCAGCCGGAGGUGAAUUGAGGAAAGCUGUCCCUAGUACGAGAGGACCGGGACGGACGCAGCUCUCGUGUGCCAGUUGUCCUGCCAAGGGCAUGGCUGGUUAGCGACCUGCGGAAAGGAUAACCGCUGAAAGCAUCUAAGCGGCAAGCCUCUUCCAAGAUGAAUUCACCCACAGGGUUAACCUGGUAAGGCCCGUGGUAGACCACCACGUUGAUAGGCCGGAAGUGUAAGCGUGGCAACACGUUCAGCU